rnacentral:rRNA from 1 species
GACGAACGCUGGCGGCGUGCCUAAUACAUGCAAGUAGAACGCUGAAGGAGGAGCUUACUUCUCUGGAUGAGUUGCGAACGGGUGAGUAACGCGUAGGUAACCUGCCUGGUAGCGGGGGAUAACUAUUGGAAACGAUAGCUAAUACCGCAUAAGCGUAGAUGUUGCAUGACAUUUACUUAAAAGGUGCAAUUGCACCACUACCAGAUGGACCUGCGUUGUAUUAGCUAGUUGGUGGGGUAACGGCUUACCAAGGCGACGAUACAUAGCCGACCUGAGAGGGGGAUCGGCCACACUGGGACUGAGACACGGCCCAGACUCCUACGGGAGGCAGCAGUAGGGAAUCUUCGGCAAUGGACGGAAGUCUGACCGAGCAACGCCGCGUGAGUGAAGAGGGUUUUCGGAUCGUAAAGCUCUGUUGUAAGAGAAGAACGAGUGAGAGAGUGGAAAGUUCACACUGUGACGGUAUCUUACCAGAAAGGGACGGCUAACUACGUGCCAGCAGCCGCGGUAA